ensembl:lncRNA
ACGUUUCUUUCCUGGAAAGGUAACGCCCAGUUAAGAAAAAAACCUUCCUGUUAGUAGAGACUGUAUAUAAAGUCCCAGAAGUGCUGUUCAUUUCAGAGCACUGAUCAGGGCUAGUGACUGACUGACGCUGCUGCAAAAACUCUACAGUCAGCUAAAUACAAAUACAUACAGGUAAGGUAAUAGAUACAGAGACAGUGUAACAGCAUGGCCACUGCGACUGAAAAAGACACAGUAUGGAUCGGGUUCAUGGACAUCGUUCCGGUCAUCGGGACGGUAAAAGAGGCAGUGGAGCUGGUGCUGGCUCUGUACGAAGGGAAUGAAGCGGUGAUAAAGGAGAAAGAGAAGGCCGUUGAAAACAUUGUGAAAGAGUCAUCAAAAAUACAUGAGAAGGAAAACUAUGAGAAAAAGUCUGUACCUGAGAAACCAGCAGCAGCUGCAGAUGAAUUUUCUGGACUCAGAAAUGUGAGAGAGGUCAGAAAGGAAAUGAUUAUUGAAUAUAUGGCCAAAGGUUCCAAAAGGGGAACAAAACCUCCAACUCCAGCUGAGCAGAAAGAGAGACAGAAAAGAGUGGAGGCCAUUAGGAAAGACACGCUAGAAAAGAUCCGUAUCAUCGAACCAAACUUCAAAGAAAAACGAAUGGAAGAAAUAAAGGAAGAACUGCAAAGGUCGAAAAGAGGUGAACAUGUCUUUAACAAAGACAUUCUUAAAUUUAAUUCCAAGGUGCUGACUGACUUUAUAGAAAAAUAUUGUAUUUAUAAUCUACGAGGAUAUGAUCAGCUGGAAAUGAAUGAAUUAGGCAGACACACACUUCAUCCAGACACAGCAGAAAAUAUUCAGACAAAAAUGGUGGUUCACUUUGGUGAGGAUGAAUUCUACGUGAAUGCGAAUGCAGUGUUGUAUGGUGAAUAUUGCAGAGCACUGCAUGAAGCUAUGUUAGUUGUGCUGGGCCACAUAAACCCAGAUGACGUGAUACAAGAGGAGAAACAAAAGGUGACAGAAGAGGAGAGAAAAAAGAUAGAAGAGGAGAAACAAAGGGUGAAUAAUAUCAUAGAUAAUAUGAAUGAGCAUGAGAUCUAUGUGGACCAACUGGCAAAGGUCAAGUGGAUUAAAGAGAAUAGAGACAACCGGUUUAAAAAUGUAAAACAGGAAGUUGUGAACAUGUAUAACAAAGAUUGUGGGGUUGAGUGGUGCAUUCGCAUUCUGCGUAAAAUUGCACCUUUGUUUGGACUUACACUGGGUUCCAAAUUAUCAAGCAAGUGAUAUAUCAAUAGGAUUUCGGUACAAUAAAAAGUCACGUUUUUGUUUGUGUUGUUAUUGU